CAACUUUCAGCAACGGAUCUCUUGGCUCUCGCAUCGAUGAAGAACGCAGCGAAAUGCGAUAAGUAAUGUGAAUUGCAGAAUUCAGUGAAUCAUCGAAUCUUUGAACGCACCUUGCGCCCUUUGGUAUUCCGAAGGGCAUGCCUGUUUGAGUGUCAUUA
rnacentral:rRNA from 17 species